rnacentral:rRNA from 1 species
GACGAACGCUGGCGGCGUGCUUAACACAUGCAAGUCGAACGGAAAGGCCCUGCUUUUGUGGGGUGCUCGAGUGGCGAACGGGUGAGUAACACGUGAGUAACCUGCCCUUGACUUUGGGAUAACUUCAGGAAACUGGGGCUAAUACCGGAUAGGAGCUCCUGCUGCAUGGUGGGGGUUGGAAAGUUUCGGCGGUUGGGGAUGGACUCGCCGCUUAUCAGCUUGUUGGUGGGGUAGUGGCUUACCAAGGCUUUGACGGGUAGCCGGCCUGAGAGGGUGACCGGCCACAUUGGGACUGAGAUACGGCCCAGACUCCUACGGGAGGCAGCAGUGGGGAAUAUUGCACAAUGGGCGGAAGCCUGAUGCGGCAACGCCGCGUGCGGGAUGACGGCCUUCGGGUUGUAAACCGCUUUCGCCUGUGACGAAGCGUGAGUGACGGUAAUGGGUAAAGAAGCACCGGCUAACUACGUG